GGACAGAUCUGGGCCAGAAAUUUCAUUCCCAGAAGAAGUUUUUUGAGAGAAGAUUCCCAAUAAGCUCCCAAAGACAGCAGAAGCCCCACAAAUACUCUACACAUUCCAUGCUCCUCAACUACAGCAAACCUGGAGCCAAUGACAUCUGAGACCCUGAGGAAGAAGCCACAAAAUCAGAGGAGGUGGCAAAGCAAACAUUUAACCUCAACAUGCAUUGGUGGCGGAAGGCACAGAUGCAGGUGGCCUCCAGUUGGUGAUGCAGACGAUUAAGAAUCAAGAAACACCAGAUUUUUGGGGUAUGAGAAGGCUCCAGGAAGCAUGCCUCAUCACAGCCAAAGUGGACCCAUCCUCCUAUUAAAACCAUACACAAGCAUUCUGAGUCUACAAUGAAUUCCAUCAGGAUUACAGCUUUCCAUACAUAAUUUCUGAAGUCCAGCAAGAGCACAGAACAAAGGAUUCACCAUUGCUAGGCAGAGUGGGGUGAAUCAUCUCCUCCCUCUUGAUCAUGAUGCUCCUUUCCUUGCAACCCAGCAUGACAUCUGCCUAGGCAUUCUAUG